rnacentral:rRNA from 1 species
AUUGAACGCUGGCGGCAUGCCUUACACAUGCAAGUCGAACGGUAACGCGGGGCAACCUGGCGACGAGUGGCGAACGGGUGAGUAAUAUAUCGGAACGUGCCCAAUAGUGGGGGAUAGCCCGGCGAAAGCCGGAUUAAUACCGCAUGAGACCUGAGGGUGAAAGCGGGGGAUCGCAAGACCUCGCGCUAUUGGAGCGGCCGAUAUCAGAUUAGGUAGUUGGUGGGGUAAAAGCCUACCAAGCCGACGAUCUGUAGCUGGUCUGAGAGGACGACCAGCCACACUGGGACUGAGACACGGCCCAGACUCCUACGGGAGGCAGCAGUGGGGAAUUUUGGACAAUGGGCGCAAGCCUGAUCCAGCCAUGCCGCGUGCGGGAAGAAGGCCU